CCUACGGGAGGCUGCAGUGGGGAAUAUUGGACAAUGGGCGAAAGCCUGAUCCAGCCAUGCCGCGUGUGUGAAGAAGGCCUUCGGGUUGUAAAGCACUUUCAGUGGGGAAGAAAGCCUUGGGGCUAAUACCCUCGAGGAAGGACAUCACCCACAGAAGAAGCACCGGCUAACUCCGUGCCAGCAGCCGCGGUAAUACGGAGGGUGCGAGCGUUAAUCGGAAUUACUGGGCGUAAAGCGCGCGUAGGCGGUCUGAUAAGCCGGUUGUGAAAGCCCCGGGCUCAACCUGGGAACGGCAUCCGGAACUGUCAGGCUAGAGUGCAGGAGAGGAAGGUAGAAUUCCCGGUGUAGCGGUGAAAUGCGUAGAGAUCGGGAGGAAUACCAGUGGCGAAGGCGACCUUCUGGACUGACACUGACGCUGAGGUGCGAAAGCGUGGGUAGCAAACAGGAUUAGAUACCCUAGUAGU
rnacentral:rRNA from 1 species